UAAUAAUAAUUACUUUUUAUUACAACAAUAAUUACUUAACCAAAUAACUAAGAAGAAAAGUUAUAACGAGUGAAAAUAACUUUACUUUUCUUUAUGUAUAUAUAUAAAAAAUAAACGAAAAAUAAAGAAAAUACCAAAAUGAUAAAAAAAACCAAAAUAUAUUAUAAAAUGCAAAAAAAACCAGUAAAAUUAAAAAAAUGCAAAAGAAAAAUAGUAAAAAAAAAAGAAAAUACUGAUAAGAAAAAAAGAAAAAAUAUAUAAAAAAAUCAAGUAAGGGAAAAAGGAAACUUUAAAAAAAAAAAAAAAACCGUGAAAAAAACCCUACCAAAAAACGCAAAAGAAGAAGAAGAAAAGCACAAAAGUGGGGAUUAAGAGGAUCGAACUUGUGACCUUGAAUAAAAGGAGAGGUGAUGCCACUGCAGCACCUUACAAUUAUGUGCAUAAAAGGAG
rnacentral:lncRNA from 1 species